CUGUGCCUACGGGGGGCAGCAGUGGGGGAUAUUGGACAAUGGGGGGAACCCUGAUCCAGCGACGCCGCGUGAGUGAAGAAGUAUUUCGGUAUGUAAAGCUCUGUCAGCAGGGAAGAAAGCAAUGACGGUACCUGACCAAGAAGCUCCGGCUAACUACGUGCCAGCAGCCGCGGUAAUACGUAGGGGGCAAGCGUUAUCCGGAUUUACUGGGUGUAAAGGGAGCGUAGACGGUGCAGCAAGUCUGAUGUGAAAGGUAGGGGCCCAACCCCGGGACUGCAUUGGAAACUGUUGAACUGGAGUACAGG
rnacentral:rRNA from 1 species